GAUGAACGCUGGCGGCGUGCCUAAUACAUGCAAGUCGAGCGAACAGACGAGGAGCUUGCUCCUCUGACGUUAGCGGCGGACGGGUGAGUAACACGUGGAUAACCUACCUAUAAGACUGGGAUAACUUCGGGAAACCGGAGCUAAUACCGGAUAAUAUAUUGAACCGCAUGGUUCAAUAGUGAAAGACGGUUUCGCUGUCACUUAUAGAUGGAUCCGCGCCGCAUUAGCUAGUUGGUAAGGUAACGGCUUACCAAGGCGACGAUGCGUAGCCGACCUGAGAGGGUGAUCGGCCACACUGGAACUGAGACACGGUCCAGACUCCUACGGGAGGCAGCAGUAGGGAAUCUUCCGCAAAGGGCGAAAGCCUGACGGAGCAACGCCGCGUGAGUGAUGAAGGUCUUCGGAUCGUAAAACUCUGUUAUUAGGGAAGAACAAAUGUGUAAGUAACUAUGCACGUCUUGACGGUACCUAAUCAGAAAGCCACGGCUAACUACGUG
rnacentral:rRNA from 1 species